CGGUAACAGCUCAAAUUUGAAAGCUGGCUCUUUUAGGGUCCGCGUUGUAAUUUGUAGAAGAUGCUUCGGGUGUGGCCCCGGUCUAAGUUCCUUGGAACAGGACGUCAUAGAGG
rnacentral:rRNA from 1 species